CUGCCCCCAGAUAGUGCCCCCUGCGAAGGCUGGGGUGGGGGAAUCUGGUCCUCACAGCUGCACCCAACCAGGUCUCUUCUAAAGUUUAUUAGAACAGUGUGUUCAAACUCCCAGCCCCGGCUUUUUUUCGUAACCACUGAGCAAGCAAGCAAGCACAGGGGAAGUGUUGAAGGAAUGAAAGGAGAGAAGUUCCCUGGCAGCCUCCAGGGCCAAGCAGGCUUCCAAUUUGGGCUUCCAAAGAAAGAGGGUUUGUGAUCACCGAGAGCCCUCAGGUGGUUGCCGCUUUGAUGGGGGAGGUGGCUUCCCUAUCCCCCUCCACCCAUGUUUGCCUCUCCCUUUGGGCCCUCACCCCAGGUAGCCUCACUCUUGGGGGCAUUUCAUCUUCAGCAGCCCCUCCGCACACACUUUCUGACCCUGGCUCCAGGCCCUAUCGCUGGCCUGGACCCGCCCUAGCCUCGUCGCUGAACUCACCCCUGCCACUUCUUCAGUAAGGAUCCCUGAGCCCCUGCCACCUGCUGGAAAGAACCCUGCGGGCUUCCUCUUGGCCUUAGGGUGGUCUCAAUGGCUAUAACCGCCUCUCCCCAGCCUGGUGCUCAGCCCUGCAUCUGCGCCUAGGAGGCGCUCGUUGAACGUGUAUGGGAUGAAUGAACGAACCCAGGACACGGAUCAGACAUGACUUACAUAACCG
rnacentral:lncRNA from 10 species